GAACAUAUUCAGAGACUGUCUAAAGUAGUAACUGCAAACCACAGAGCUCUUCAGAUACCAGAGGUUUAUCUUCGGGAGGCUCCGUGGCCAUCUGCUCAGUCAGAAAUCAGGACGAUAAGUGCUUACAAGACCCCCCGGGACAAAGUGCAGUGCAUCCUGAGAAUGUGCUCCACGAUCAUGAACCUGCUGAGCCUGGCCAACGAGGACUCCGUCCCAGGAGCGGAUGACUUUGUCCCCGUGUUGGUGUUUGUGUUGAUAAAGGUGGGCCCCUCGCUGCUCCUAGUGAGAAGAGUUUAGUUGGCAUUCCGAGGAGAUGCCAGAGACUUGGGCUCUUUUACACGUUUCACCCUCUCUGUUAACCCAGAAAGAAUCUAAUGUCAAGUUGUGUUCUGUCCACAAGUUGGGAUUUUCAAAAGAAAGGAUGGGAGGACCAGAUUCCCGGCUGAACAUUUUCAGCUUUUAAAGCAGUGCCUGAAGUUCUUGGUUGGAGCUCAGUGUAGAGUUACUGAAUGAGCGAGUAAGGGCAGUUCUUUUUACUGUGUUUUUUCCAUCUUCUUUCACAUUGAAUUCUUCAUAGUGCUUGGCAUAUAAACUACUACAUUUACCAAUUGUCUUUCUCCUCUUUUAGCUUAUUUUAUAAUUAUACCUUUUUUUGCGGGGGGGGGGGUCAUGCUCAGAGCAUGCAGAAGUUCCCGGGGUAGGAAUUGAACCCAUGCCACAGCAGUGACCUGAGCCACAGCAAUGACAAUGCUGGAUCCUUAGUUCACUGAGCCACCAGGGAACUCUGUACCAUAUUAUUUUUAAAAGUAGUGACAUCUCAUCCUUUUUUGAUGUUAAAAUUUCAUCAUUUAAAUGGUUUAUUUUGGAGUUCCCGUCGCAGCGCAGUGGUUAACGAAUCCGACUAGGAACCGUGAGGUUGCGGGUUUGAUCCCUGGCCUUGCUCAGUGGGUUAAGGAUCUGGCGUUGCCAUGAGCUGUGAUGUAGGAUGCAGACGCGGCUUAGAUCCCGCGUUGCUAUGGCUCUGGCGUAGGCUGGCAGCUACAGCUCCAAUUCAACCCCUAGCCUGGGAACCUCCAUAUGCUUCAGGAGCGGCCCUAGAAAAGGCAAAAAGACCAAGAAAUAAAAAUAAUAAAUAAAUCAAUAAAUAAAUAAAUGGUUUAUUUUGAACAUUUUAGUUGAGUGGUACCAUGCAGUUUGAGUACACACAGCCACCAAAUAACCUCAUCACUCUUGUAAUCCAGUCAGCCCAGCCCAUCUAUGGAUGUAUAAAGUAUAUUCAAUAUAUAUCUUACCCACUCUUAGAGUUCCCUGGGGAUCCAGUGUCGUCAGAGCUGUGGGCACUGCUGUGGCAUGUGUUCAAUCCCUGGCCUGGGAACGUCUCCAUUCCAAGGAUGCAGCCAAAAAAUUUGUCUUACUCAUUCUUAAUGUUUGCUGUAUCUCUGCAGACUGAACCCUUAGCUCAGAGUCAGAACCCGUAGGAUCAGUAUGCCUUCAUAACUCUUCCUGUUGCCUGUUGCUCCUCUCUUCCACAGAUGGAGUGUUUAGUCUCUGUGUAGAAACAAUUUAAGCUCGUUUUAAGAAACAGGCCUUAGCUUGUCCUCCCAACCUCUUAACACACCUGUGUCCUUUCUGUCUGCAUGAAGAAGGUGAAAAAGCAGAUAUUCAGAGUUCCCACUAUGGUGCAGCAGGUUAAGGAUGUUGCCACAGCUGUGGCAUAGGUUGCAGCUGCGGCUCAGACUUGAUUCUUGGCCUGGGAACUUCCAUAGACCAAAGGCGCAGCCAAGAAGGAAAAGAAAAAGUGGGAGAUGUUCUUUACCUCUUGCAGCAGAAGACGUACUCUCUUUUUCAGUUUUUUUCUUUCUCAGCUGAUUAUACCUGGACUUGCUAACCAGACAUAACUUAAUAUGCCUGCAGCAUUUCUCUCCUUAUCUAACAUGCUGGAAUCCUGGGAUGCUGAGUAAAUCCACUGGGAUUAGUUCAGCCUCUUUAAGGACCUGUAAGGUUAAGUGCUUUGUUAGGAUAGAAAGCUCUAGAUAGUUCAGCUAGGAUUAAAACCCAAGUCGCUUAUACUCUUGCUACUUGUAAUAGCUAAGGUUCCAAAAAGGAUUUGGAGGAUUAUUUUCAAAAGGACUGGUGUCUCUUUUCACGAAAAACAUUUGAAGAUGUUACCCUGAGUGAUUUUUGCAGAGCUGUGCUCUGAGUGAUUGACUCUUUUUUAUUUUCCAUUUCUCUAGGCAAAUCCACCCUGUUUGCUGUCUACUGUUCAGUAUAUCAGCAGCUUUUAUGCCAGCUGCCUGUCUGGAGAGGAGUCCUAUUGGUGGAUGCAGUUCACAGCAGCAGUGGAAUUCAUUAAAACCAUCGAUGACCGAAAGUGACCAAGACCAAGGCCCACCAAGGCAGCAGACUGUUCGGAGGGCAAACAGAUCUCUUGGAAAAUGUACCAGCUGCUUUGAAGGCUGACACUUGUUUUUGUAUGAUACUGUACAGCAUUCAGACAUUUUAAAACAGAUCUUUACUAAACAGAUUAAUGAGCUAACAAGCAGGUUCUCUUUUCUUUGGGCUCUUUUCCUUUCUGAGUUGCAUCUUUUAUUUUCUUGUCCCCAUGUGGAGAAGAGUACUGCAAAAAGGGACCACAUUUUUCAGGUAUUUUGAAAUACUAAAAACAAAACAAAAUCUUCUAGAAAAUUCUUAGAUCUCCAUUUAUGGAUACCCAUUCUUUCUUUUCAUUAAAAAAAAAAAAAAAAAGCAGUACACCUCUUUGAAGAUGCUGUCUAAUCUUAUAUGCAUCUGAUGGAAGGAAAAUACCAGUUGCACUGAGGAUUGUGAUAGUGGUGACAUUAGUGGCAUUAUCUAUAAAUACACUCACCUAAAUCGAAAAGCUAAGAAGGAAAUGUAAAUAUAAUAUAUAUUUAUAUUUGAUGUAAUAUGGACAUUCUUCAGAUUCUAAUAAACAAGGACUAUUGCUGAUAGUGGGUUGUAAUGUACCCUCUUGUGGGAUGGUUUCCUUGACAAAAUUUAAGCUGCGCUUAAAAGCAAAAGGCAAACAAAUAUGCAGAAGUAUUUAUUAAAGUGUAAUGCAGUUUAUUGAAGUUUCUAGGUGUAGAGUUUGAUGCACAGGACUGCCUUUGAUGAGGGGCAUAAAGAUCACAGAGUAGGUCACUUGGGCGUUUCUCACCUCGGACGUCUUUGAGCCCGCAGUAGGACAGAGGGUCUUUCAUCGCCAUGUAUUACGUACGAAGCAACAGUAGAUGCCCGAUGCGUUCUUGUGGUACUUCUCAGCUGGAUAUAGUGUAGAAACCCCAGACGGAACUCCUUAUAAACCUUUAAUAUAUUUUUGAUGAUGAUUCACAUUGAAUGCACAGACCAGGAAUUCAGUGAAUGUAAUUUUUAAAAAUCUAAUUUGUAUUGUCUGCUCUAGUGAUAUGUGUUUUCCUAGUGAUAAACUAUUUUAAUCAACCCUACUCUUCUUAUGGAAAAAAAAAAUCUAUUUUGGCAGGUUUCCGUGCCUUUGUUUCCCUCUUCUGAACAAAGAUACGUGUUUCUGUAUUUUGGGUUGAUUGUGUGUUGAUAAUGAAUCAGCAAGGGGGUUUUGGUGUCUCAGAAACUGGCCAAGGAGGCCCCAUCAAAGCUUCAAGCACAAGUGUUGUACAUUGGUCAUCACUGACUGGGUUCAUUUUGUAUGUUUCCUAAACAUGUUUAGCUUCUUUUAUAAAACUUGGUCCCGUACUUUGAGUCUUCCUGUUGCUGGCAGCAUUUCCAGGCAUUUUUAAGGGACCUGUGACCAGCGGCCUGGAGCAGAGGCUGUCUCCUCUCUCUCUCUCUCUCCAGGAAUCUUGCUCCAUUGUGUCUGAAGAAGCUGGGUUUUCUUUAUGCCUCGACCUCUUCUCGUUCCUUUAUUCUAAAAUACUGAUUGCAAGUUGCAUAGGAGCGUGGGAUGUGGUUUCUGCCUUUUAGGAGGAGAUCAGAAUUAAGCUAAAUGUCCUUUUGAACGGUAGGUCAAGAAAUCUGUGUACAGAGUCAUGUGCUUCGUGGGCUGGAACUGUCAAGCUUGUCUAGGUCUCAGAAAGUCAAAUCCCAUGGUAAAUACUUUACAAGUCAAACAAGCCAUCUGACACGAUUUCGAAGGCCUGGAGGGAGUUCGGCAUUUGAGUCAGUAAAUGUUAAUCGAAGACUUGGAAUAGAUGAAACUCAUUGUUUUGGGAUUAACUCUUAAGUCUUAGGGAGAAAUUGUUUUCCCUCAGGAUGGUCACCACAUCUUUUCCGUCUUGCGGAAAUACGCACAAAGAUGUGGACAUCACACACGGAGGGGAAGGUGGUGACCUGGGGGUGCAGGGCUACACUGGCGGCAGGAGACGGGCCUCUGCAGUGCUUGAGGCAGUGGUGAGGGCAGAAACCCAGAGAUUUGGCGUCAGCGAUACAUCUCUGCAUCGGAGGCAGGUGCUCGAGGCUUGACUCGGGUGCUGGCGGAGACGCAUGGCCCAGCUGCUGAUGGUUCAGCUCUUUUCCUCUGGAAACCUGUCAGCAGUAAGGACGACUUCAGCAUUAACCAUCACUGGUUUGAUUUCAUGACAGGGUUUUAUUAUAGUGUUGAAUUCCGAAUUGAGGAAUUGCUAACUAUCUGCAUGGCAUGGUGGAGGUGUGAGAUAGUAGUAACUUGAUUUUGCUCUUUCAGGAAAGAGGAGUAGUUGUUCCUCGGGUGUUUGGUACCACAGUUCCCUCCAGUAACUAACUUUAUGUGAAGAAUUAGUGCAAAAGUACAAAAUCACACACAGGAGACAUUUGGUAGCUUCCAAUUAUUACAUGAAAUUUAUAAGGAUAACGGAUGUUAAAUGGGGAGCCGGUGGCUCAAUUCACUGAAAUCUUGUAGAAUUAACUAAUGAAAAAUCAGUUUAUAUUUUGUGUUAAUAUUCUACUUCUGGAGGCAGUUAAGUAAUAUAAAUACUGAUGGAAGAUUGUCUUCCCUUGUAAAAUUAGUAUUUUUUUAAAUCUAGUAAGCAUCGUGUUUUCUUUCUCUACUUUAGGUCAAAUCUCAGCCAGUUACUGCUUUUGCUGCUUUUUCUUUUUAAAAAACCUGCUUAUGGGAAGUUCCUGUUGUGGCUCAGUGGGUUACAAACCCAACUAGUGUCCAUGAGGAUGCGGGUUCAAUCCCUGGCCUUGCUCAGUGGAAUAAGGAUCUAGCAUUGCCGUGAGCUGUGGUGUAGGUUGCAGAUGUGGCUCAGAUCUGCGUGGCUGUGGCUGUGGCCGGCAGCUGCAGCUCUGAUUCAGCCCCUUGUCUGGGAACCUCCAUGUGCCAUGGGUGUGACCCUAAAAAGACCAAAAAAAAAAAAAAAAAAACCCAAAAAACACCUGCUUAUGAAAGCCUUUUUAAUGCAGCUAUUAAAUUGCUUUAAAAGGAUUAGACUUCAUGAAUGAUUGGAAAUAGAUGUCAGGAGUUCCCUUUUGGCACAGCAGGUUAAGGAUCAGGCAUUGUCACUGCAGCAGCUUGGGGCAAUGCUGUGGUGCAGGUUCGAUCCCUGGCCUGGAAACUUCCACAAGCCAUGAGUGCGCCGCCCCCCCCCGCAAAAGAAAUGUGGAUGUGGUGCAUGGUUUCUCUUUUCCUGUUGUAUCCUGGAAGCCUUUGUUUAACAUAGACUUUGAACACACGUGUCCUGAGGUUCAUAAGCAAGAGAACAUAAACCCUCGCAGACAGUCACAAGGCCAUGUUCCGGCCAUAAGGAGCAGUAACUGACUGUGCAAGCCGGUUGAUGCUGUUUUCCUAUUACCUGCAUAGCCAUUCCAGUUUGGGCCAAGGGAAGGUCAAUAUUGUGAAGCUUUAACAAUUCCUUUCUCUGAUGCGAUUGGGGGUGAAAUGGAAAGUAGGGAUGCACUUGCUCCGACUUGUUAGCGGAGGCAUAGAGGUGAUGGAAACGGUCGUGGAGUUUGCUUGCUCCGUUUGCGUGUUUGCGGCUUUCCCCUCUCCAUCCCUGCUUUCUUUCUUUAGGAAAAGUCUGCCCUCUUUUUAGUUCUUCUAACUCUAGUGAGUUUAUUCUGUAUGUAAUUGCUGACUUUGGGGAUAUACAUUAAAAAGAAUCUUAUCAGAGUUCCCACUGUGGCUCAGCGGGUUGGGCACCUGACAUAGUGUCUGUGAGGCUGCGGGUUCGAUCCUUGGCCUCACUUAGUGGGUUGGUGUUGCCGCAAGCUGCACCAUAGGUCACAGAGAUGUGGCUUGGAUCCGGCACUGCUGUGGUUGUGGUGUAGGAUGGUAGCUUCGACUUGAAUUCCACCCCUAGCCCAGGAACUUUCAUAUGCCACAGGUGCAACUGUAAAAAGAAAAUGAAAAAAAAAAA
ensembl:lncRNA